rnacentral:rRNA from 2 species
GCCAGCUUGCUGGUGGAUUAGUGGCGAACGGGUGAGUAACACGUGAGUAACCUGCCCUUGACUCUGGGAUAAGCCUGGGAAACUGGGUCUAAUACCGGAUAUGACCUUCCAUCGCAUGGUGGUUGGUGGAAAGCUUUUGUGGUUUUGGAUGGACUCGCGGCCUAUCAGCUUGUUGGUGGGGUAAUGGCCUACCAAGGCGACGACGGGUAGCCGGCCUGAGAGGGUGACCGGCCACACUGGGACUGAGACACGGCCCAGACUCCUACGGGAGGCAGCAGUGGGGAAUAUUGCACAAUGGGCGCAAGCCUGAUGCAGCGACGCCGCGUGAGGGAUGACGGCCUUCGGGUUGUAAACCUCUUUCAGUAGGGAAGAAGCCGUGAGGUGACGGUACCUGCAGAAGAAGCGCCGGCUAACUACGUGCCAGCAGCCGCGGUAAUACGUAGGGCGCAAGCGUUAUCCGGAAUUAUUGGGCGUAAAGAGCUCGUAGGCGGUUUGUCGCGUCUGCCGUGAAAGUCCGGGGCUCAACUCCGGAUCUGCGGUGGGUACGGGCAGACUAGAGU